GACGAACGCUGGCGGCGUGCUUAACACAUGCCAGUCGAACGGAAAGGCCCUGCUUUUGUGGGGUGCUCGAGUGGCGAACGGGUGAGUAACACGUGAGUAACCUGCCCUUGACUUUGGGAUAACUUCAGGAAACUGGGGCUCAUACCGGAUAGGAGCUCCUGCUGCAUGGUGGGGGUUGGAAAGUUUCGGCGGUUGGGGAUGGACUCGCGGCUUAUCAGCUUGUUGGUGGGGUAGUGGCUUACCAAGGCUUUGACGGGUAGCCGGCCUGAGAGGGUGACCGGCCACAGUGGGACUGAGAUACGGCCCAGACUCCUACGGGAGGCAGCAGUGGGGAAUAAUGCACAAUGGGCGGAAGCCUGAUGCAGCAACGCCGCGUGCGGGAUGACGGCCUUCGGGUUGUAAACCGCUUUCGCCUGUGACGAAGCGUGAGUGACGGUAAUGGGUAAAGAAGCACCGGCUAACUACGUG
rnacentral:rRNA from 1 species